UAGAGUUUGAUCCUGGCUCAGGAUGAGCGCUAGCUACAGGCUUAACACAUGCAAGUCGCGGGGCAGCACUGGGAUUGCUUGCAGUCCCUGGUGGCGACCGGCGCACGGGUGAGUAACGCGUAUCCACCUGCUCCUGCAGUGGGGAACAGCCCGGCGAAAGUCGGAUUAAUGCCCCAUGGGCGUCCCUCGGCGGGGCAUCUUAAUGAGGACUAAAAGGCUUCGGCCGCUGCGGGAUGGGGAUUGCGGUAAGAAUUAGGGAAGGCGGCGGGGGGCGACGGCCCCCCCGCGCCCACCAAUCCUUAAGGGGUUCUUAAAAAGGAAGGGCCCCCCCCCCUGGGUCUGAAAAACGGAACCAAAAACCCUCCGGGAAGCCCCCUGAAGGGAAAAUUGGGCCAUGGGGGCCCAACCCCAACCCCCCCCGUAACGCGCGAGGAAAAAAGGCCUCCCGGGUUUUAAAAGCUUUUUUUAUCGGGGAAUAAAAGGGG
rnacentral:rRNA from 1 species